ACCAGACUCCUACGGGAGGCAGCAGUGGGGAAUAUUGCACAAUGGGGGAAACCCUGAUGCAGCAACGCCGCGUGGGUGAAGGAGCGUUUCGGCGCGUAAAGCCCUUUCAGCGGGGAAGAAGAAAGACGGUACCUGACCAAGAAGCCCCGGCUAACUACGUGCCAGCAGCCGCGGUAAUACGUAGGGGGCAAGCGUUAUCCGGAUUUACUGGGUGUAAAGGGGGCGCAGACGGCAAUGCAAGCCAGGAGUGAAAGCCCGGGGCCCAACCCCGGGACUGCUUUGGAAACUGUUAAGCUGGAGUGCAGGAGAGGUAAGUGGAAUUCCUAGUGUAGCGGUGAAAUGCGUAGAUAUUAGGAGGAACACCAGUGGCGAAGGCGGCUUACUGGACUGUAACUGACGUUGAGGCUCGAAAGCGUGGGGAGCAAACAGGAUUAGAUACCCCGGUAU
rnacentral:rRNA from 1 species